rnacentral:rRNA from 1 species
GACGAACGCUGGCGGCGUGCUUAACACAUGCAAGUCGAACGGAAAGGCCUCUUUCGGGGGGUACUCGAGUGGCGAACGGGUGAGUAACACGUGAGUAACCUGCCCUUGACUUUGGGAUAACUUCAGGAAACUGGGGCUAAUACCGGAUAGGAGCUCCUGCUGCAUGGUGGGGGUUGGAAAGGUUCGGCGGUUGGGGAUGGACUCGCGGCUUAUCAGCUUGUUGGUGGGGUAGUGGCUUACCAAGGCUUUGACGGGUAGCCGGCCUGAGAGGGUGACCGGCCACAUUGGGACUGAGAUACGGCCCAGACUCCUACGGGAGGCAGCAGUGGGGAAUAUUGCACAAGGGGUGGAAGCCUGAUGCAGCAACGCCGUGGGCGGGAUGACGGCCUUCGGGUUGGAAACCGCUUUCGCUCAUGACGAAGCUUUGUGUGACGGUAGUGGGUAAAGAAGCACCGGCUAACUACGUG